rnacentral:rRNA from 1 species
UACGUAGGUGGCGAGCGUUGUCCGGAUUUACUGGGCGUAAAGAGCGCGCAGGCGGUCGUUCAAGUCGCGUGUGAAAGCCCCCGGCUCAACUGGGGAGGGUCACGCGAUACUGAUCGACUCGAAGGCAGGAGAGGGUAGUGGAAUUCCCGGUGUAGUGGUGAAAUGCGUAGAUAUCGGGGGGAACACCAGUGGCGAAGGCGACUACCUGGCCUGUUCUUGACGCUGAGGCGCGAAAGCUAGGGGAGCAAACGGG